UACGUAGGGUGCGAGCGUUAAUCGGAAUUACUGGGCGUAAAGCGUGCGCAGGCGGUUCGUUGUGUCUGAUGUGAAAUCCCCGAGCUUAACUUGGGAAUGGCGCUUGAAACUACGGUGCUGGAGUGUGGCAGAGGGAGGUGGAAUUCCACGUGUAGCGGUGAAAUGCGUAGAGAUGUGGAGGAACACCGAUGGCGAAGGCAGCCCCCUGGGCUAACACUGACGCUCAUGCACGAAAGCGUGGGGAGCAAACAGG
rnacentral:rRNA from 1 species